GGGGCGCUGAGCUGGCCGCUCCGGGGACCGGGAGCGAGCAGGCUCCGGCUGCAGGCAGAGACGGGGUCCCUCUGUAUCAUGCAUGAAUUUGACAAACAUUUGUUGAAGGUCUAGAGUUCUGUGACCACAUUUUCUGAACUCCAACUCAUGAUGUGUGAUAAAGAAUUUUUCUGAAAUACAGUGCUGACCAAGGGAUGCGUGGUCUCUGCCUUCAUGGAAUUUAUAGUUUAAAGAGACAUAAUGACAGAAGGUGAAUUCAGGAUACUUUGAACACAGAUCAGGCUAUCCUUUCCUGAGUACUUCACAGUUAAGUUGAAAUCUCAUUGGCUGACAGAGCAGUCUCUAUCUGGAAUAUUGCCAUUGUCAUGGCAGAAGGAAAAGAAAAGUGUCCCUCUCAGCUGGAGCUUUCUGAAAUCCCGCCACCAUUCUGUGAGAAGCCAAAGCCUCACCGAAAGGCUGUAUGUUGGUGUUCUUGUCAAUAGUACCAGCUAGCCUUCAGUUCAUCCCAGCCCAGGCACCAGACAGGCGAGUGAAGACACAAUCUUGUACUGGCAUCUGUUUAAUUGAACCACAAAGAGUAAAACAGUCAAGAACAAAGAAUCAAAGAGGAUAAAGCAAUAGUAGAACUUAGAAGUUAAAUAAAACGCAGGUUCAAUUUUAUCUUCCUCCAGAGGACCUAUACCAGCUCUAAGUUCCAAGUUAACUCCCUGAUAC